GAGGCUGCCGGGAAGGGACGAUGUGGUUGGUGGAGUGCACAGGCAGGGACCUCACUGGACUUUCCUAUCUGCUCGGCAUGGACAGGCAGCCCAGGAGAAGGCAGCAGGGACAUGCCACCCCCUCUUUCCCCAAGGAAGCUGGGGACAGACGGGUCCCAGGCACUCCAUCCUCUGCAGCAGGUCAGGUUGUGAUUUACUGGGCGUUGGUGAAUAAAAUGGAGAGGCUUCUGGGGAGAAAUUCCUGGCUCCCACGUGGACUGGCAGAGCUCAACAGGCAGCCACGUGGCUGAGUGUCCAGCAAACAUCACAUAAGGCUUUGGGUCCUGUAGGUGAGGCUGCCCUGAGCAGCAAGCUCAGUCCAGAAGAGCAGUUCCUCUCCAGGAUCCAUUUUCUGCGCACUUUUAUGUCCAGUGUAGCUGGAGCAGAGCUCGCUGGAAUUCCACAGGCAACUAAGAACGGAGAGGGAUGCAUGCCAGCCAGGGAUCCGUUGUCUUCCCCAUCAGCACGCCCCAUGGCCUCCGUCUGCACAGUGUCCCUCUGCACAACUUGUCAGUGCGUUAUCACGACUCUUAUUUGGCCCUGGCCUGUCCCACUGUCCUGGCUUGUUCCAAGUGCUUCCUUCUCCAGCUGUGGUUCUGGCUGCAGAGCUGUCUGCUCCCCACGUUGGGCAACUCCAGCCAAGAUUCCUACACCCAAAUGUGACCGUGUUGCUCACAAAGAAGCCUCAGCUUUGUGUGCACCCAGCUGUGUGCACAGCUUGUCCCAACCCCAGUGGGUGCUGCGUGCCUCUCCCACCUCCAGUCCUUGCCAUGAUGAGCAGAUGACCACCGCCCUCCAGGGUCAGUGUUUGGCUGCUCUUGUGCC